rnacentral:miRNA from 1 species
UACCUCGCCGGCUGGAAGGAAAUCCUUCCAGUCGACGAGGCAUGUACCUCGCCGGCUUCCGCCCGACGAGGUACAUGUACCUCGUCGGCCGGAAGAAACCCCUUCCGGUCAACGAGGUA